ensembl:snoRNA
CCUUGUCUAUGAUGAAACAUUUUUCUAAUGAUGACAGCUGGAUGAAUCCUGCGGAUAUGGGGCUGAGAUGAGGC